UAGUCAGUUGACGAAGAUCUGGUUUACAAGAACUAAUUAAAUGUUUCAUUGCAUUUUUGUAAGAACAUAGAAUAAUUUUAUAAAAUGUUUGUAGUUUAUAAUUGCCGAAAAUAAUUUAAAGACACUUUUUUUCUCUGUGUGUGCAAAUGUGUUUGUGAUCCAUUUUUUUUUUAGGACACCUGUUUACUAGCUAGCUUUACAAUAUGCCAAAAAAGGAUUUUUCCCUGACCCCAGCCGUGGUUCACCCUCUUUUCCCCCCAUGCUUUGUGCCCUAGUUUAUAACAAAGGAAUGAUGAUUUAAAAAGUAGUUCUGUAUCUUCAGUAUCUUGGUCUUCCAGAACCUUCUGGUUGGGAAGGGGAUCAUUUUUUACUGGUCAUUUCCCUUUGGAGUGUAGCUACUUUAACAGAUGGAAAGAACCUCAUUGGCCAUGGAAACAGCAGAGGUGUUGGAGCCCAGCAGUGCAUGGCACCGUUCAGCAUCUGGUUUGGUUGGUCUGGCUGCCGUCAUUGUCACGCAGUGCCAUGGACAUGGGAAGACUUGACUGCACAGCCAAUGGUUUUCAUGAUGAUUACAGCAUACACAGUGAUCACAUAAAAGAUGACAGCUCUGGGGCACACAGGCCAUUUGCUUACAUGCCUCGUAUCAUGAUUAAUGCUUUUUGAAGGCAGAAUCCCGAAGAUAACAUAUCUCCAAUACAGAAAACAAUUCUUUUUAAUACUACAGCAUACACAAAAAUUUGUUCUAAAGUUUGACUCCACUUCCUCUAACUCCAGUGGAUUGUUGGCCAUGUCUCCCAACUCCACAGUAUCUCUGUUGUGGGAAACACCUGGGUUUUUGCACUACAUGGGAGAAAGACCCGGAAACUAUUUGGGUUGUUUUCAACUUUUCAUUUGGAUGUUUGGCAUUACACACACACAUCCACAGGUGGAAGAGACGCCUGGCGAAAACACCUGUCUGCUUUCUAAGCCAGUGAGGUUGAGGUGAGAGGUUUGCCAGAGUUUGUCUACCUCUGGGUAUCCCUUUAUCUGGGAUAAAAAAAUCAAACCAGAAGGCGGGAUGGAAUGGAUGCACCGCAAAUAAUGCAUUUUCUGAGUUUUCUUGUUUAAAAAAAGUUUUUUUAAAAAAGUAAAAAAAAAAAAAGGUAAUAACAUGGCCAAUUUGUUACAUAAAAUGACUUUCUGUGUAUAAAUUAUUCCUAAAAAAAACCUGUUUAUAUAAAAAAUCAGUAGAUGAAAAAAAUUUCAAAAUGUUUUUGUAUAUUCUGUUGUAAGAAUUUAUUCCUGUUAUUCCGAUAUACUCUGGAUUCUUUACAUUAUGGAAAAAAGAAACUGUCUAUUUUGAAUGGCUGAAGCUAAGGCAACGUUAGUUUCUCUUACUCUGCUUUUUUCUAGUAAAGUACUACAUGGUUUAAGUUAAAUAAAAGAAUUCUGUAUGCA
rnacentral:lncRNA from 1 species